UGCCGAGCUGGGCGCCCGGCCUGUCCCAUCCCCUCCCCUCCUCGCCGUCCCCACUCAGCCCCCUGCUCCCACUCUGAGCCAGCUGGGAGCGGGGGAUGCUGUUCACGUCCCUAGGAGCUGCUGCUGCCGCCCAUAGAGGACUCACAGCAGCCUCGUGUCGUCUGUGUGUGCAAGAUUGCAGAGUGCUGGGGAGACUGUUUGGGAUAAAGAGCUGAAAGCUCCACGCUCCCGAGGGAACGCUUUGGGCCCCUGCCGCUUCUGAAGCGCACCGAUAAUCCCGGCUCCCCCAGAAACCUUCCGAAGCUGGAAGAGACAGGCAAGACAACUGCAGGAGGGGUUCAGGAAGCACUUUUUCCCAGGUCUGGACAGCACUGAGAUGGGAAUGACUUCAGAAUAUUCCUCGUGCCUCUCCUGUUGCCAGCCCGGGACUAAGUCAGUCCCUGCGUGUGGUGGGAGGAAGCCUGUGCUGGACAGCGAGAGAAAGGUCCCUGCUGGUUGCUGUGUCCUCGGUGGGCAGAGAACUGUGACCUUGGCCGGAUGGGUCGAGUGAAAAGCUCAGUCAAGAGUGCACGAGUACAAAGCAGGGAGCUCGGAGUGCUCGGUUGCACCCUGCUGCAGCUCCUGGAGGAGCAGGGCCUGGCCAGCACCUUGCGUGAGCUUAUGAAACCCCUGUGCCUAUCAGCAGUGAUGGAAGAGGACGGGACAGGACGGGUGACUCGUCUCGUUCUUAUCGCUCCUGCGACAAGGCAGUGAGUUGUUUUUGUAUUCCUGACUUCCGUUUCCAUCGGGGACACGUGGCUUGGAGCGCAGGAGCCGUAUGUGUUACUCACCCACAUCAGAUUGGUCUGCAGCAGUGCAGGUUAUGAAUUACAGGAUGACUUGGAAACUUGGAAACAGGGAGAAGAAAUGAUUGUGUCUCUUUGCAAAAAAAUUGGCUACAUCAGGGCAUUAAUUCAGGGAAGGAACACUUCAUCUUUAACGUUCUGUGCUCUGCCAUCAUCACUGUGAGCCAUGAAAGCCUCCUGAGCCCUUCUCAUAAAAAAAAAAAAAAAAAAAAAAAAAUCAGUAUUUUAUUACUGUGUGCAAACUCAGGGGAAAGAUUUUAUUCAGUAUCUCUCAGUGCAACAUUAAAGCUUCAUUUUCUCUACCCUUGAACAGACUGAGACACAAUAUUACUUCUAUCAUCUUUAUUACAGGCAUUUUAAACUUUUUAAAGAACCAGAAAGACUGUUUGUGCACGUGUGUGUGUCAUUAAUAUCCACCCUCUCUCCAUUAGAGGAUGGGGAAAAAAGGCUGCAGAGCUUCCUACCACGGGCUGUAAGUGCAAAUGACGAGGAGCCAGAGGUUUAGUCACGAUGAUUUAUUAUUUCUUAAAGAACCCGGUUGAUUUCAUGAUACCAAAGCCUGUAUAGAAGACUGAACUCGGGACUCAUGAUGGUCUUCUUGUGUUUAAAAAGCUUUAAUGGCUUUGAAAGAUAUUUAUAUCAGACCUGGUACAUUUCUAUUAACUAUUUAAAAUUUAAUUUGGAAAAAAAAAAAAAAAAAAAAAGCAGCAAAAAGCAGCCCUGUUCCAUCACUGCUGCCACUCUGUGGGACAAAAGCCCGUCUUCCCUCCGCUUGGAACAGGUGAGAGACAGAACUAAACCCCACAGGAUUUUCUGCUUAUCACUUAUACGUGAGUUGUAUUGGGAAUGCUCUGUGAAAUCUGAUAAAUUGUUCUUGAAUGUGGCCCUGAGGGUAGCUGAACAUGUGUCCUAGGGUAACUUUAUGAUGCCUGUAUCCCCAGUCGUCUGUUCUGUUUGUGCUGUAUAUUGAGUCCUGUGCCUUUAAGACUGGUUCUAAGAGCAAGGAGAAGCGCGGAGUUUGUUUUGAGAAAACUGCCUGACUCCUCCA